CCGGCCCGGGGUCUGCCCCUUCACAUGGCGAUGUCUCCGGCAGGUCCCGGCAGCGGCCGCCCGGGCCACACAGAAAGCGCAGGACUCCGGCAGGAAGUCAGCGCCCAUGAAUGCUUUCGGGAAGCAUCAAGAAACUUCGCUGCUGAAGAACCCCCCCAGCAAAGUCUUUGCCCCGACAGGCUUGCAGCCGGAGAUGGAGGGCGCAGGGGGCCGCAGAGGGCAGGGUGCGUGGAGGAGCUGGGCAUAUAACCAGCCCCUUCUCUGAUGCGCACAACAUUUUGUACAGAGCUGAUUCCUACUGAAACUGAAAUUCAGUGCAGAAAAAAAUAAAUAUCAUAAAACAGA